CCUACGGGAGGCAGCAGUGGGGAAUAUUGGACAAUGGGGGCAACCCUGAUCCAGCCAUGCCGCGUGUGUGAAGAAGGCCCUCGGGUUGUAAAGCACUUUCAGUGAGGAAGAACGCCUGGUGGUUAAUACCCAUCAGGAAAGACAUCACUCACAGAAGAAGCACCGGCUAACUCCGUGCCAGCAGCCGCGGUAAUACGGAGGGUGCGAGCGUUAAUCGGAAUUACUGGGCGUAAAGCGCGCGUAGGUGGCUUGAUAAGCCGGUUGUGAAAGCCCCGCGCUCAACCUGGGAACGGCAUCCGGAACUGUCAAGCUAGAGUGCAGGAGAGGAAGGUAGAAUUCCCGGUGUAGCGGUGAAAUGCGUAGAGAUCGGGAGGAAUACCAGUGGCGAAGGCGGCCUUCUGGACUGACACUGACACUGAGGUGCGAAAGCGUGGGUAGCAAACAGGAUUAGAUACCCCUGUAGUC
rnacentral:rRNA from 1 species